AUUAUGAAAAGUGAUCACCAAACAUGACCACUCAUCCUUUUUUAUGUCUUCUUUUGGGGAAGAGUCAAUGACUGAGAGAGCAGAGGCCACUGAUGGCUCCUAGUACUGGCCGAAGCUUUGUUCUCAUGCUGCUACUUUUAAACAAAGAUUGCUUCUUAGCUCCAGAGAUCCCACAGACCCUCUUAGCUCAGAGGAAGUCCUGCUCAAAGGCAGGUGCGUUCCCCACCAAGCACCCUAAAUUCUUCUUGUAUAAACUAAUUGGAUUUCAGAGUAACUUCGUAUUUCAUUGACUUUCAUGCACUUACCCACCCAUUAGGAUUUCAGCCUUCUGAAGGAACCUAGAGAAAUCACCUCGGAGACAACUUUCAUCAGCAACACAAACUUCUCGCGGCAGUCAGACUGGAAAAAAGAAGCAUCUAGAAGACACAGAACCCGAGAAUGUGGAAGUACUUUCUGUCAUGUUCACUCACCAGAAUGCAAGGCAGUAUUGGGCACUGAAUCAGCCCUCAGUAAAUAUCUAGUGAACUUUUAAA